rnacentral:rRNA from 1 species
UGGGGAAUAUUGGACAAUGGGGGAAACCCUGAUCCAGCGACGCCGCGUGCGGGAUGAAGGCCUUCGGGUUGUAAACCGCUGUCAGAGGGGAUGAAGUGCUGGGUGGUAAUUCAUAAUCCAUCCAGUUUGACAGAGCCUCAGAGGAAGCACGGGCUAAGUAUGUGCCAGCAGCCGCGGUAAUACAUACUGUGCGAACGUUAUUCGGAUUUACUGGGCUUAAAGGGUGCAUAGGCGGCUUGUUAAGUAGGGUGUGAAAGCCCCCAGCUCAACUGGGGAAUUGCACUCUAUACUGGUGAGCUAGAGUGAGAUAGGGGUGUGUGGAACUGCCAGUGGAGCGGUGAAAUGUGUUGAUAUUGGCAGGAACGCCGGUGGCGAAAGCGACACACUGGGUCUCAACUGACGCUGAGGCACGAAAGCCAGGGGAGCGAACGGGAUUAGAUACCCAAGUAGUCCCUGAGCGGGCUGGCAAGGCGCAU